AUUGAACGCUGUCGGCAGGCCUAACACAUGCAAGUCGAGCGCGCGGCGGACGGGUGUGUAAUGUAUGGGGACUGCCCGAUAGAGGGGGAUAACUCCUGGAAACGGUAGCUAAUACCUCAUACUAUCGGAUCGCCCCUAUGGGAUUAGCUAGUAGGUGAGGUAAUGGCUCACCUAGGCGACGAUCCCUCGCUUGUCUGAGAGGAUGAUCAGCCACACUGGGACUGAGAAACGGCCCAGACUCCUACGGAGGCAGCAGUGGGGAAUAUUGCACAAUGGGCGCAAGCCUGAUGCAGCCAUGCCGCGUGUAUGAAGAAGGCCCUAGGGUUGUAAAGUACUUUCAGUCGGGAGGCGUUACCGACAGAAGAAGCACCGGCUAACCCCGUGCCAGCAGCCGCGGUAAUUC
rnacentral:rRNA from 1 species